rnacentral:rRNA from 1 species
UGGGGAAUAUUGGACAAUGGGCGCAAGCCUGAUCCAGCCAUACCGCGUGGGUGAAGAAGGCCUUCGGGUUGUAAAGCCCUUUUGUUGGGAAAGAAAUCCAGCUGGCUAAUACCCGGUUGGGAUGACGGUACCCAAAGAAUAAGCACCGGCUAACUUCGUGCCAGCAGCCGCGGUAAUACGAAGGGUGCAAGCGUUACUCGGAAUUACUGGGCGUAAAGCGUGCGUAGGUGGUCGUUUAAGUCCGUUGUGAAAGCCCUGGGCUCAACCUGGGAACUGCAGUGGAUACUGGGCGACUAGAGUGUGGUAGAGGGUAGCGGAAUUCCUGGUGUAGCAGUGAAAUGCGUAGAGAUCAGGAGGAACAUCCAUGGCGAAGGCAGCUACCUGGACCAACACUGACACUGAGGCACGAAAGCGUGGGGAGCAAACAGGAUUAGAUACCCUGGUAGUCCACGCCCUAAACGAUGCGAACUGGAUGUUGGGUGCAAUUUGGCACGCAGUAUCGAAGCUAACGCGUUAAGUUCGCCGCCUGGGGAGUACGGUCGCAAGACUGAAACUUAAAUGAAUUGACGGGGUCAUAGCUGUUUCC